rnacentral:rRNA from 1 species
GCUCAACCUCGGGCGUGCGGUGGGUACGGGCAGGCUAGAGUGUGGUAGGGGAGACUGGAACUCCUGGUGUAGCGGUGAAAUGCGCAGAUAUCAGGAAGAACACCGAUGGCGAAGGCAGGUCUCUGGGCCAUUACUGACACUGAGAAGCGAAAGCAUGGGUAGCGAACAGGAUUAGAUACCCUGGUAGUCCAUGCCGUAAACGUUGGGCACUAGGUGUGGGGGACAUUCCACGUUUUCCGCGCCGUAGCUAACGCAUUAAGUGCCCCGCCUGGGGAGUACGGCCGCAAGGCUAAAACUCAAAGGAAUUGACGGGGGCCCGCACAAGCGGCGGAGCAUGCUGAUUAAUUCGAUGCAACGCGAAGAACCUUACCAAGGCUUGACAUGCACUGGACGGCUGCAGAGAUGUGGCUUUCUUUGGACUGGUGCACAGGUGGUGCAUGGUUGUCGUCAGCUCGUGUCGUGAGAUGUUGGGUUAAGUCCCGCAACGAGCGCAACCCUCGUUCUAUGUUGCCAGCACGUGAUGGUGGGGACUCAUAGGAGACUGCCGGGGUCAACUCGGAGGAAGGUGGGGACGACGUCAAAUCAUCAUGCCCCCUUAUGUCUUGGGCUUCAAGCAUGCUACAAUGGUCGGUACAAUG